UGGGGAAUAUUGCACAAUGGGGGAAACCCUGAUGCAGCGACGCCGCGUGAACGAAGAAGGUAUUCGUAUCGUAAAGUUCUGUCCUAUGGGAAGAAAAUGACAGUACCAUAGAAGAAAGCUCCGGCUAAAUACGUGCCAGCAGCCGCGGUAAUACGUAUGGAGCGAGCGUUGUCCGGAAUUAUUGGGCGUAAAGGGUACGCAGGCGGUUUAAUAAGUCGAAUGUUAAAGAUCGGGGCUCAACCCCGUAAAGCAUAGGAAACUGAUAAACUUGAGUAGUGGAGAGGAAAGUGGAAUUCCUAGUGUAGUGGUGAAAUACGUAGAUAUUAGGAGGAAUACCAGUAGCGAAGGCGACGUUCUGGACACAAACUGACGCUGAGGUACGAAAGCGUGGGGAGCAAACAGG
rnacentral:rRNA from 1 species